UUGCGUAGGCGGUUAGUAAAGUGAAUAGUGAAACCUGGUGGCUCAACCAUACAGACUAUUAUUCAAACUCACUAACUCGAGAAUGGUAGAGGUAACUGGAAUUUCUUGUGUAGGAGUGAAAUCCGUAGAUAUAAGAAGGAACACCAAUGGCGUAGGCAGGUUACUGGACCAUUUCUGACGCUGAGGCACGAAAGCGUGGGGAGCGAACC
rnacentral:rRNA from 1 species